AAACUCAACUGCAUAAUUUGUGAUAGUGGGGGACUGCGUUCGCGCUUUCCCCUG
rnacentral:snRNA from 1 species